GUAUGGAAGAGGAGAGCACAUGUAAAGUUCGUUUACGUCGGUUCUUUAUCUUGGAAAACAAAAGGAUCGGUGAGUUCAUCAUUACAGAUAAUUAUGGAAACUGUUAGUGAUUCAUGUUUUCGAAUUUUGAUGAAAGAAAAACGUUUGG